AUGGCAUGGAGCGCCCAAAGGGAGUUGAAGUACUCAUCUCCAACCCUCCUCUGCCCAAUGCCCGAAGCAAGAGGCGUGUCGACGAUCCACUGCCGAGUGGUCGCCCAACUAAGCGCGCUGCCACCGAUGAGCCUAGGGCCAGCUCAUCCAAGAAGCCAUCCGGUGGUCCCAAGGUCCACGACCGCCACACGGAUCCCGGAGGCCUCCAAGACCUCCGGCAAGGGGAAGGACGUUUUGGUGACCUCUGAUCCAAGUUCCCGAAUGAAGAACCCGACGAGCUUAGGGGGUUCACCCGGGACUCCUCAAGCGACGACGAGGACGGCGACUACCGCCUCCAGGGCUGCUAAGGCAGAGGAUGCGACUGCAAAGGUAGCGUCCCCUGGCCCGACCAGGACCCCGAAGAUUGGGGUCCGCAAGACCCGUCGAUCCACCAGGGUAUCAACACAGGACAACCCAGACGCUGCAGCUGACUCGGCCUGGCCGAGUGGCGGAGAUGCAGCGGGAGAGGAGGUAGGUGGUGGUAACGGGUCGACGGGCGCCGCAGCUAACUCGAUCCGGCCGAGUAAAGGAGAUGUGGCAGGAGCGGAGGUAGGCGCUGGUGACGGGUCGAUGAGUGCCGCAGCUGACUCAGCCCAACUGAGUGGUGGAAAUGCGGCGGGAGCUGAGGCCGGCGCUGGUGACGGG
rnacentral:lncRNA from 2 species